rnacentral:rRNA from 1 species
GUGGGGAAUCUUGCGCAAUGGGCGAAAGCCUGACGCAGCCAUGCCGCGUGAAUGAUGAAGGUCUUAGGAUUGUAAAAUUCUUUCACCGGGGACGAUAAUGACGGUACCCGGAGAAGAAGCCCCGGCUAACUUCGUGCCAGCAGCCGCGGUAAUACGAAGGGGGCUAGCGUUGCUCGGAAUUACUGGGCGUAAAGGGCGCGUAGGCGGACAGUUUAGUCAGAGGUGAAAGCCCAGGGCUCAACCUUGGAAUUGCCUUUGAUACUGGCUGUCUUGAGUGCGGGAGAGGUGAGUGGAACUCCGAGUGUAGAGGUGAAAUUCGUAGAUAUUCGGAAGAACACCAGUGGCGAAGGCGACUCACUGGCCCGUUACUGACGCUGAGGCGCGAAAGCGUGGGGAGCAAACAGGAUUAGAAACCCGAGUAGUCC